rnacentral:rRNA from 1 species
GGAUGACUUGUGGCUAGGGGGGAAAUUCCAAUCGAGCUGGGAUAUAGCUGGUUCUCCCCGAAAUAACUUUAGGGCUAGCGUUAAACAAGAGUUUUAUGAAGGUAGAGCACUGAAUAGUAGAUGGUCCCACCUCGGGAUACUGACAUUAAUCAAACUCCGAAUGUCAUAAAACGCGUUUAGCAGUCAGACUGCGAGUGAUAAGGUCCGUGGUCAAAAGGAAAAGAGUCCAGACCGCCAAAUAAGGUCCCAAAAUAUAUGCUAAGUGGAGAAGGAUGUAGAGAUGCCUAAACAACUAGGAUGUUGGCUUAGAAGCAGCCAUCAUUUAAAGAGUGCGUAAUAGCUCACUAGUCGAGUGACUCCGCGCCGAAAAUGUACCGGGGCUAAGCAUAUUACCGAAUUUGCGGAUUCGAUACGAAAGUAUUGAGUGGUAGGGGAGCGUUCCAUAUUGGGAAGAAGCAAGAUCGAGAGGACUUGUGGACUAUAUGGAAGUGAGAAUGCCGGUGUGAGUAACGAAAAGACAGGUGAGAAUCCUGUCCGUCAAAAACCCAAGGUUUCCAGGGGAAGGGUCGUCCGCCCUGGGUAAGUCUGGGCCUAAGGUGAGGCCGAGAGGCGUAGCUGAUGGAUAUCUGGUGUAUAUUCCAGAACUAGUAUAAUGACUGAUGGAGUGACGAAGAAGGCUAGGAUCCGAUUCUUAGUGGAUUGAAUACGAGAUAUCAAGAGGGGAUGUAGGCAAAUCCGCAUCUAGAAAUCAAGAUAUGACAGGUAAAGGAUAACGAAGUCAAGCUUCCAAGAAAAGCUUCUAGGGUUAAUCAUUAUACUACCAGUACCGUAAACCGACACAGGUGGGUAGGAAGAGAAUUCUAAGACGCGCGAGAAAACCCUUGUUAAGGAACUCUGCAAGUUGGCCCCGUAACUUCGCAAUAAGGGGAGCUCAUGUAAAAGUGAGCCACAGAAAAGAAGCCCAAGCAACUGUUUAACAAAAACACAGGUUUAUGCAAAACCGUAAGGUGAAGUAUAUGAGCUGACGCCUGCCCGGUGCUGGAAGGUUAAAAGGAGAGGUUAGAGCAAUCGAAGCCUUGAAUUGAAGCCCCAGUAAACGGCGGCCGUAACUAUAACGGUCCUAAGGUAGCGAAAUUCCUUGUCAGGUAAGUUCUGACCCGCACGAAAGGCGUAAUGUCUUUGGGCACUGUCUCAACAGGGGACUCGGUGAAAUCAAACUGCCAGUGAAGAUGCUGGUUACCCGCGAUUAGACGGAAAGACCCCAUGGAGCUUUACUGUAGGUUGAUAUUGAU